UUUCCAUUGAAAUUAUCUUCCGUUCCAUUCAUAAUUGGAUUACGAAAUUCCUUCGUUAUCAGACGUGUUUACUUUCUGUAGCAGACAAAUGGAUGUUGUAGAGGAAACUGGCGGGCUGAUAAGGGAGCCCAUAAUAACAAUCUGUGAAUUAAGUGACUAUGCACAAGGACUUGAUGAAAAAGACAAACGACAGUAUGUAGAAAAACUAGUUAAAUGUGAAAUAGAUUGCCCAUUAUAAUUAAUUAAUUAAUUAUUAUAACGAAGGGCACAGUUUUUCAAUAACAGCGGCUUCCACUACCCACAUUUGUUGUGGAAUAAAAAAUGGGCAAUCUAUAUCACUAAACCGAUUGGCUAUUUUUUGUGUAGGUCGGUGUGGUUUGACGGGUCUCAGGGAAUUUCCUGCCCCAAUAUAAGUCAUAAUCGGGAAAAGAAUUAGUUAAAUUUUUAAAAAAAUUGACGAAAUGGAUAGCUCUUGAUAACCUCUAUCCAUUUUUGUAAAAUAAUUGUUUUAAAAAAAUUACUCGAAUGGUAAACCGAAUAGCCAUUUUUAGGACAGGUCGGUGCACCGACCUACACAAAAAACAGCCAAUCGGUUUACUACUCAAGUAGAUCCUUUUAAAGCGAUAAUUUAACAGAAAUGGAUACGUCUUGAUGAGGGCUAUCCAUUUCUGUAAAAUUUGUCUAUUCCAUAUUUAUAUUUUUACGGAUAACGUUAAGUUAUUAAUACAUAUUAUACGUAUCAUAUAGGAUAUAUAGGAUGUAAAUAUAUAAGGAUAUAUAUAAUAUAUGGGACGUAAUAUAUAGGAAUAAUACGUAUUAUAUAUUUUAUAGUAAUAAUACGUAGUAACACGUAAACUGUUUACGGAUUAAAUGUGGAGUAUGUGUUGGCUAGAUGGUGAAGUAUUGAAUCGUUAAAAGACCGGAAAAAAAUUGAUUCUUUGGAAGGCCCUAUCUUUUAGCAUUGGCGUAUUUAUCAUCUACACGUUAAGACGCCGUCUCAGAAACCUUGUUGCAAGCAUAGGAUAGCCCACUGAAUGUAAUAGUUCAAGCCUGAAGGUUCCCUAUCUCGGCCGUUCAAUCGUUUUGACGGGAUCAGGAUAAAAUGCAGACGUGGACCGCGAACUGCGGACAGGAGAAACUGCGGACUUUCACCUGCGGACUGGCCCGAAAUUUUUGACUGAUUUUUCGUGGACUUUGGGAUAAAAUGCGGAUCGUUUCGUACACGGAGCGAUUGAAUGUGCGGAACGGGCAUGAUAAACUGCGGACUGGUAUCUGCGAACUCCAUUCCCAUAUAAAAUUUUUAAUUUCAAACUAAAAAAAGUAUUUAAAAGUCAACAUAUGUAUUAUUCAAAAUAUGAAAGUAAAGGACAGUUUAUAUCACAUGGGCAAAUAAAACAUGUAAUAAACUUAAAGGCAUUUGGGGCAUUUCCAAGGGGUUUUUUAAGACUCCUGAAAGGCAUAAUGCUGUUUUUUUGGAAGACAUUCCUUGGGGUACCAUUCUUUGCAAAGUUUGGUACCACACUGCUGCCUACUGAAGAACGACUUACAUACGCUACGGUUGUCUAAUUCAAAUUCUUAGUUAUGCUUUGUGCGUAAAAGAAAAUAGAAUAUAAUGGAUUUGGCCUGAAGGAAGAAAUAAAUAAAAUGGUCAACUGCUAAGAGCUGUGCGCAUUUUUAUUUUUUUUUCAUUGGAAUUGUUGCAUGCAUACAUAUUUUUUAAAAGCAACAGUUAUCGAACAAAAGCCAAUGCGUGACAAAAAUGAGGUUGAUCUGUCUUGACUAGAGUAAAUUCAAUGCCUGU